rnacentral:rRNA from 1 species
GAUUUCCCUAGGUUUGAUGGCUCUAACCCAAUGGAGUGGUUAAGGAUGACUGAGAAAUUUUUCUCCAUGGUGUAUGUGCCUGAAGAAGCAAAGUGGGACUAUGCCCAAAUGUAUCUAACAGGCAGAGCAGACACUUGGCUCAGAAACUCUGGCAUCUUAAUGGAGAACUUAACUUGGGAGCAAUUUUGCUCUGCUGUCCUUAAAAGGUUCUCUAGGAAUAGUUCUUAUGAGGUAGUGGAAAAUUUCAAUUCAUUCAAGCAGGGAACUGAGAAAAUGGCUGCUUACAAGAAGGAAAACCCCGGAGCUCGUGAAAGUUACUAUGUCAAGUGCUACAUCAACGGGUUAAGGCCGGAGAUCAAACACUAUCUGAAGCCUUUCAAACCAACAACUCUCUAUGAUGCUGUGGACAAUACCAGGGACAUGGAACUAGGGGUUCAGGCUACAGCAUAUGAGAUACAGUAUAAACAAUGUCUAUCAGAAAAGCACCUCCCCUACCCCAACUCCCACCAAAUUCAAACAACCAGAGACAAUUCCAAAUAAAGAUGGCGAGACAAGAAACAAGAACAGGUGGAAAAUAAAUACAAAGAGCCUGGCACAUGCAGGUACUAUGGAGGCAAAUGUUUUUUGGGCACAAAUGUGUGUAAUACAAAACCCUAA